rnacentral:rRNA from 1 species
GACGAACGCUGGCGGCGUGCUUAACACAUGCAAGUCGAACGGAAAGGCCCUGCUUUUGUGGGGUGCUCGAGUGGCGAACGGGUGAGUAACACGUGAGUAACCUGCCCUUGACUUUGGGAUAACUUCAGGAAACUGGGGCUAAUACCGGAUAGGAGCUCCUGCUGCAUGGUGGGGGUUGGAAAGUUUCGGCGGUUGGGGAUGGACUCGCGGCUUAUCAGCUUGUUGGUGGGGUAGUGGCUUACCAAGGCUUUGACGGGUAGCCGGCCUGAGAGGGUGACCGGCAACAUUGGGACUGAGAUACGGCCCAGACUCCUACGGGAGGCAGCAGUGGGGAAUAUUGCACAAUGGGCGGAAGCCUGAUGCAGCAACGCCGCGUGCGGGAUGACGGCCUUCGGGUUGUAAACCGCUUUCGCCUGUGACGAAGCGUGAGUGACGGUAAUGGGGAAAGAAGCACCGGCUAACUACGU